UACGAGGGGUGCAAGCGUUGCUCGGAAUUAUUGGGCGUAAAGGGUAGGUAGGUGGUCUCAUUUGUCUGGGGUGAAAGCCUUGAGCUUAACUCAAGAAGUGCCCCGGAAACGGUGAGACUAGAGUCUUGGAGAGGGUCGUGGAAUUCCCGGUGUAGCGGUGAAAUGCGUAGAGAUCGGGAAGAACAUCGGUGGCGAAGGCGGCCUGCUGGGCUGUUGCUGACGCUGAGGCGCGACAGCGUGGGGAGCAAACAGG
rnacentral:rRNA from 1 species